CAAGACGUAGCUAAAGUAUAAAGCACUCAGCUUACACCCGAGGGAUAUCUGUUAUUCGUCAGAUCGUCUUGA
rnacentral:tRNA from 1 species